GCCUCGGUGGUGUAGUGGUAGCACGCGCUUCCGGUACGCGUGAAACACGGGUUCGACUCCCGCCUGAGGUC